UUAGUAAUCAGUUUAUAUACCGUUGUUAUUAAAUAUUUUAUUAGAAUAAUAAUAUUUAAAAUUUUUUAUAAAAAAAUAUAUCAGAUCAAGGUGUAGCUUAUGUUUAAGAAGAAAUGGGUUACAAUAAAAUUAUUUAUGAUGGAUAUAAAAUUGAAAUGUUUUAUUGAAAUUGGAUUUAAUUGUAAAAU
rnacentral:rRNA from 2 species